rnacentral:rRNA from 1 species
UACAGAGGUGGCAAGCGUUGUUCGGAAUUACUGGGCGUAAAGGGCUCGUAGGCGGCCAACUAAGUCAGACGUGAAAUCCCCAGGCUUAACCUGGGAACUGCGUCUGAUACUGGAUGGCUUGAAUUCGGGAGAGGGAUGCAGAAUUCCAGGUGUAGCGGUGAAAUGCGUAGAUAUCUGGAGGAAUACCGGUGGCGAAGGCGGCAUCCUGGACCGACAUUGACGCUGAGGAGCGAAAGCGUGGGGAGCGAACAGG